rnacentral:lncRNA from 1 species
AUUCAUGAUCUUAUUCAGGAGUCUUUAUUUUGGUUAAGGAGGGUCGUAGGGGAGAGAGGGGCAGCAGGUGCUUCAUUACAUCACAAAUUCUUUGCUGCAGGCUCUGCGUGGGGGGUGAGCAGAGGACAUCAGAAGAAACUGAGGCGGCCUCGGAGCCCCUGGCAGGAGCUCUUCACUGGGACCCCCAGCCCCGUCUGCAGCCCAUCUCAGAACAGCACUGGCUUGGCUGGCAAGGCUGCUUCUCGGGGCCCAGGGUUAGUCACAGGGAUUCUGUCUUGAAGCCCCAGGCCCAGGUCGUGCGGGAGAUCCCAUGGGUGUCCUGGGUUCUAGCUCACAGGGCUCAGUCCUCCCGGGAAGGCUGGGUGAGCCCAAAGGGCAGGCUGAGCACCUCCCAAGUGGAUGUCUAUGUUGAGCUGAAAGUAAUCUCGUCACGACAACCCCCUGCAAUCGGUAAGACGAUCCCCAUUUCACAGAUGAGGAAACUAAUUCCCUGAGAAGUUUUGGGACAUGCCAGGGCCACACUACACAUAUAGUCUUCUGAUUCCAAAGUUCACAUGGGCUUGACCACAGGCUUUGCUGCUGAGGCUGUUUCUCGGCCUGGGUCCCUGGGGCGGUCUCUGGAGCUGGGUGUGUUCCGAAGCCCCUCAGGCACAUCAGCAGCCUUCCAAAAAUAUCCGUUGAGGAGUGCUGUGAUGCCCUCCUGGGCUAGGGGGCCCCAGUGUGUCUUUUCUCCCUGUGGAGAGAGUCUGGGUGGAGUGGUGGUGGGGGUUCCGGGCCAGGCUCCUCCAUCUGGCUGAGGGGCCAGAAUCCCACCUGUGAGCCCCACAAGGCAGGCCCAUGAUGGGCACCCCUCUUUGUGAGGCAGGGGGUGGGUUCUGAGAAGAGAAGGGAGGGGAGGGCCAGGGACAGGAGGGCAGGGAGACCCCAGCAGCCGAGCCUGGGAAGCUGGGACUCAUCAGGCUGCGGCCUGGGCCCUCAGGCUGCUGGGGAGGCGGGAGGAGGUCAUCCUCAUGAAUAUCUGACACUUGUCUGUCUGGAAGAGGGUCUGACUGAGCUGUCAGGGAAUGUUAAAUAGCAGCCCAGGCACCCUCCUGCUGGCUUGGGAGGCUCACAGCAUGGAAGGGAGGGCGUCCUAAGAGGCGGCCCCCUGGCCCCUCACCCCACAGUGCCUUGGUGCUGGGAGAGAAGCUGGGGCAGUGAUGAGAUGGAACAUGAAUUAGAUGCCCCAACCCUGCCGGGAGCCCCAGUGCCUCCUUGCCAGGCCCUGACAGCCCCACCGUGCCCCUCCAAGUCUGCUCCCACACCACCGCCUUGGCACCUGCUGCUCCUGGCACUGGACACUUCUGCCCCAGGCGUUUAAGGCCUCACUCACGGCUCAGGUCCUAGAAGAGCCCUGCCUGACUACCUAGGCCACCCUCCCCCAUGCACCUCCAUCUCAGCACUUCUUCACCCAGCCCUUGUGAACUGAUCCUAUUAUUGUGUUUUCUGUCUCUCCCCUUUAGCGCAUCAGCUCUGCGAGAGUGGAACCUGAUCCUCAUGUGACCUGCUUUUCCUCGUGACACAGCCUGGCACCCAAGAGAUCCUCACUCCCAAAACUCAACAGUAAAAGAGCAAACCAUCAGGUUAGAAAAUGUGAAAGACAUGCACAGACAUUUCACCAGAGAGGACACGUGGAUGGCAAAGGCGGCGGGAAGAGAUGUUCGCCGUCAUUAGCCAUUCUGGCAACGCAGAGGAGGACCGCUGUGAGACACCACCAUGUGCCUGUCCGAACAGCUAGAACCAAAGAUAAUGACAACUGAAAGCUGGUGAGGAUGUGGAGAAACGGAAUCACCCCUCCAUUGUCGGUGGAAAGGGAAAACGCCUUAGCCACUCUGGAGAACAGUCUGGCAGCUUCCUAUAAAAACUAGGCAUGCGCUACCACAGAGCCCGACCACGGUAUUUUUGGCCGUUUAUCCUGAAGAAACGAAAAGUUAUGUUCAAGUGAAAACAUGUACACAAAUGUUCAUGGCAGCUUUACUUGGAACGGCCCCAUACUGGAAGCAACCCAAUGCCCUUCAAUGGGUGAAUGAUUAAACAAACUCCAGUGCAUCCAUACCACGGAAUUCUGGACAAGUAAAACAAACAAACUGUUGGCGCACACCACACCUGCGUGAACCUCCAGAGAAUUACGCUGAAUGAAAAAGCCAACCCAAAAGGUCACAUUCUGUGUGAUUCUAUUUAUAUAACAUUGUAAAAUGACAAAGUUUUAGAAAUGGAGAACAGAUUAGAGGGCCAGGGGUUAAGGAUGGGGGGAGGCAGGCAGGAGGGAGAGGGGUGUGGCUCUCACAGGGCGGCAGGAGGGGCCUUGAGGGGACAGAGCUGUUUUGCAUCUUGAUGGUGCUGUUGAGUGCCUGAACCUACACGUGAUAAAAAUUGUAGCAAAAAAUGCACACGGAAAUGAGUGCGUGUGAACUGGGAAAUCGGACUAGGACUGGUGGGUUGCAUCAUUGCAGACACUCCAGUUGUGCUAUUGUGUUGUAGUUUUGAAAUAUGCUGUCAUUGGGGAAACCAGGUUAAGUGUACAUGGGCCCUCUUUGUGAGCUCCUGCAACUGCAUGUGAAUCUACAACGAGCUCAAUAAAGAUUUCCAUCAAAAAAUACUCUCAUGCACCCAAAAAGAAGGUGUUAAAAACGCAAGCAUGCACAAGGCUCUGAAUAAAUAUUCACGAAUGAUCAAAAGUCCCCUGUGCUCUUCACAAUUCACCUGGGGCUCUCUCCUCCCACUCCUGCUCGAUGCCGGCCUCAUUUUAAUGGGUGACAGAACUGUCAUUGUCUACCAGCUUUAGAGGAUGGCCAGGGUUGAGUGGCAGAGACGAGUGAAGCCAGAAGAUCUGGGCCCUGGGUUCAGGCAGAGUCCCUGGUGGCAUACUUGGCAGUGUGGGCAUUUAGGGCUGUGUCCCAGAAACGGCCCUAGGCUGGCCCUGGGGACCUGCAGCCUUCUCAAAGGUCACAAGUUUCCCUGAAGGAUAGAGGCUGCUGGUGAGCCAGGCAGGCCAGGACCAGGCCUCAACUUCCUUCUAAGUCCUCCUGGCCUGUGGGGAGCCAGGGAGGGAUGGAAAAAGAUGGCGUGGGUGAUGCCCCUGCUGUGUGCUGGUGCUGAGUUAGUUGUUUGGAGGGGUUAUCAUAUUUAAUGGUCACACCAACUUUUUGAGGUUCCUUAGAACCUCAAAAUUACCCAAAGCACCCAACUGAGCCCCAAAUCCGGUAAUGGAUUCUAGCUCACCCGUUCUCAUGCAGCUUGCCAGGGUCCCUGGGGUAUGCGUUCUCCUGUUAUUCAACAGGGGUAAACCCAGCCUGUUCUGAGUCAGCUGCGUCCUGGGGGCUUUGGCCUGAGGUCUCUGGCAGUGGGGAGCUGCACCUACGAGGUGCAGGAGAUGACUUAGACUCGGGGCCAGCACACUCUCCAGCUCCCCACUGCCAUUCUCUUUACAAAGGGAGGGCACGGCCUCAGCUCAGAGCCUCAACAGGCCACAGACCAUGGGUGGGAGUUUAUCGCUGCUGCCUUAUUUCAUGGCAAUGUGGUGGUUACCUUCCACUUCUGCUCCCGGCUUCCCACUUACAGUACUGAUUUAAAGAUUCCCUUUUAAAUGAAUUCACUAAAAUUCAAUGCAUGAGUUAAUUUAAAGAAAAAUAAUAAGAAACAAUAGCACAGGUCACAACAGAUACAGCAAAACGGUAAAGGCAGGAAGUGUAUGUUUCUCUCUGUGGCUGAGGCUGGGGGCUUGCUCGACUCAGCCAGGCGACCCCUCAAGUCUGAGUGACGGCGGCCUCUCGCCAGGCUGCUGAGACUGACAUGUGGCUGGUCCACACUGAGACGUGCCCUCGUGUAAACACACACUGGGUUCCAAACAUUUACUUACUAGACUAUCAAAUAGUUCAUUAAAAAUGCUUUAUAUCAAUUGCAGGUUGAAAUGAUAAUCAUUUACACUGGGUUUAAUAAAACAUAUGGUUAAAAUAAUUUAACCUUUUUUUCUUUCUUUACUGUGCCUACUGGCACAUUUUAAGUGACAUCUGUGGCUUGCAUCAUGUCUCUAUUGGACAGGACUGAUCCGGAUGGUUCUCAGACCUGCCAGCCGGCAGGCUUGGGGCAGCAUCCUCCUGGCAGGGCACAGCCGCCCCAGCUGCUCUCUGCCACUCAAGUCCAGCUGGACUCGCAGCUGCCUCAGAAGGGUGGCCUGGUGGAAUGUGCAGAUCAGAUUGGGGGUUCGAUGAGGCAGGCGGCCAUCUGGGGGAGGCGAGGGAUGCCCAGGCCCAGGAGAGCGGGGGAAGGCUGAGCCAGGCGGAGGUCAUGGCUGGGUGCUGGGGAUAUUAUGGAGACAGAGGCUGAGCACUUGGAACAAACCUCCA